rnacentral:lncRNA from 1 species
UUUUCGUCCCUGAAUUACGAUCUCAGCCCAUGUUGCCUCACACUGCCUCUCUGUUAUUAAAAUUCCUUUCUACACAAUUCAUAGGAACAUAAAUCCUUCCUUUAAAGUCUAACCAAUAAUGCUUCCAGAAAAUUAGAUUCUCCGUUUAAAAAAUUGACACUUAACAAUAAUGUGCCUCCUUCCAGUCCUUCCCUCUUUCUGGAAAUCUUAGGACAGGUAGAGACAUGGGGGUGGAUGAAAUGACUUUCAGGAGCCCGUUGCAUGGCCACACCCAUAAUCUACUGGUUGUGCUUGUUUCUUUGCUAUCACUAGUCUUCUAGUCGUAUGACCUGGAAUUAUUACUUAAAAUGUGAUUCAAAUGCUGUGUAAAUAUGGCCAAAAUGUUUGUUUUCUUCAGUGAUGGAAGUAGGAUUAAGCAGGCAGGGAGCAGAGCUCCAGGGUCCACCGGCACAGGAGCCAGCGACAGACCUCACCAGACAAGUCCCCAGAGUGAAUUGUUCCAGUUCCCAUCACAGGCUUUCUCCACCUGACUUAUCCAAAAGGCUGAGAAGCAAUCCCGUCUCAGGCUUUCUCACCAGAUUUGAUUCAUCUGCAUGCUCCAUGAAGGCUCAGUUUCAGAUGAACCAUCAUGCUGAUGUCUGUAGGCACAUCUCAGGAUCCUUUCAGACAGAGGAAUGGGAAGUCGAUGACAUCCAAGCAAGGGGGAUGUGUUUUUCUCCAACUCUGAAGUCCCACUCAACAAGAGGCUAUGGUCUGAAUUUGGACACCUUCACUCAGAGUGAGGGAAUUCAUUCCCAACUCACAGAAACCACAGGCCAUGGAAA